UCCUCGCUCCAAGAAUCGCAACGAAGCACACGCACAGAGUGCCCUCGGGCAUCUCGCUCAGCUUUGGGAGAAAGUCCCCGGACAUCGGUCCUCUGGAUCGCACUUUCAGCAACGAACCGCCAUAGAAGCGCGGCCUCGUACCACUACGGCGCUUCUCACUCUCUCUUCCGUUUGUACUCUUUGCCUGGGCUUUCUCGACGCUACGGGUGGAGGAGCUGGUGCCUGGGCGAUGAUAUGAGCCCGCUGGUCACCUUGCCCGUCGCCGACGGAUCGACGAGGGCUCAGAGGAGGGGGGAGAUGCCGGGUUGUGCUGGGUAUCGAGGGUUUUCUCGUCCAGUUUAUGGUCAUGCGAUUGCUUCUGCGCGUCUCGGUAAUACGGGACGGCGGCAGGAGUAACUCAAUGGGGCUUAUUCUUGACGCGAGG
rnacentral:RNase_MRP_RNA from 2 species